CUACGGGGAGGCAGCAGUAGGGAAUCUUCGGCAAUGGGGGCAACCCUGACCGAGCAACGCCGCGUGAGUGAAGAAGGUUUUCGGAUCGUAAAGCUCUGUUGUAAGUCAAGAACGGGUGUGAGAGUGGAAAGUUCACACUGUGACGGUAGCUUACCAGAAAGGGACGGCUAACUACGUGCCAGCAGCCGCGGUAAUACGUAGGUCCCGAGCGUUGUCCGGAUUUAUUGGGCGUAAAGCGAGCGCAGGCGGUUUGAUAAGUCUGAAGUUAAAGGCUGUGGCUCAACCAUAGUUCGCUUUGGAAACUGUCAAACUUGAGUGCAGAAGGGGAGAGUGGAAUUCCAUGUGUAGCGGUGAAAUGCGUAGAUAUAUGGAGGAACACCGGUGGCGAAAGCGGCUCUCUGGUCUGUAACUGACGCUGAGGCUCGAAAGCGUGGGGAGCGAACAGGAUUAGAUACCCUGGGUAGU
rnacentral:rRNA from 1 species